AUGAACAUAGACGUGGAGUUCCACAUCUGGCACAACUACUCCUGGAACAAGUUGCCGGCCAACGUGAGACAGUCAUUAAUCGUCUUUGGAAAUUCACAGAGAGAAUAUGAAAAGCAGGUUGUCCUGUACGGUAACUGCAAUCAGUUGCGAUACAGAAAUAACUUAGUUAAACAUGUCAAGAAAGAUGAACGCAGAUACUAUGAGGAACUGCUAAAGAACAGCUGAGAUCAUCUCAUGCUGUACCCCAUCAUCUAUCGGAUAUUAUGGUGAAGGGCUUGAGGAUAACAUCAUUUUCAUAUUAUACUGGGAUUAUGGAGGAUGUUAUGACCAGUGAGAAAAGUUAUGAUUCAUUGCCCAAUUUUACUGCUGCUGACUGUCUAAGGUUUCUUGGUAUAGGAAGAAACCUGUAUAUUGAUCAUAUGAAUCAGUGUAGAUCAUCAAAACAAUUCUUCAGAAAGAAAACAGCCCGUGAUCUUCUACCAAUAAAGCCAGUGGAAAUUACCAUAGAGGUGUGGUGGGUGGUGCAGGCUGGAUAUAUCACAGAAGAUGACAUCAAGAUACUCACUUUGCCUGAGAAAUGUGCUAUUGAUAAGAUCACCGAUUCAGGCCCUCAACUCUCUGGAUCACUAGAUUACAAUGUAGUACAUAGUUUGUAUAACAAAGUAUUUAUCUCGAUGUACCAAUAUCUGAUGACAGUUAUACAGCAGUUCCACCUCUUGAAGGUUUUGUAAUGAAUCAAGUGCAAGGUGAUCAUUUUGAAACUCUACUCUAUAAGAUACUUGUUUCAAUAGAUGAGCACACAAAUGCUGCAGAGCUUGCAAAUGUCCUUGAGAUUGACUUAUGCCUGGUUAAGAAUGCUGUUUCAGUGUAUUGCCGAUUGGGCUUUGCCCAUAAGAAGGGCCAAGUAAUAAAUUUGGAUCAACUUCAUUCAUCAUGGAAAAAUGUUCCAUCCAUAAACAGAUUAAAGGGUACCUUAGAUCCACAGAAGAUGCUGUUGUCAUGGGAUGGAGGGGAAGGUAGGAGUCCUAUUACAAGAAGCUUCAUCAGCAACUGACACUGAUACAAAUAGUCAAGAAGAUCCAGCUGACACAACCAGUGUAAACAGCCUGAGUCUGUCUACGGGACACACGAAGCGCAUCGCAUUCUUGUUUGACUCCACUCUUACCGCCUUCUUGAUGAUGGGAAAUCUUUCACCAGUUCAGAGCACUGGUGAAGGAGAAGCACAGAGAUAUUUUGAUCAUGCACUUACUCUGAGAAACACAAUACUGUUUCUGCAUCAUAAGAAAAAUCUAGUUGCGCAAACUGCACAGCCAGACCAAUCCAAUUAUGGUUUUCCUCUGGAUCUCUUACGCUAUGAAAGCCUUCUUGAUCUGGACCCUGCAACUUGCAGCAGAGUUGUAAACAAAAAUUACACACUGCUUGUUUCCAUGGCUCCCCUCACCAAUGAAACCUGGCCUGUCAGCAGCUGCACCCCUCAGCAUAUUGGACCAGCUAUCCCAGAAGUCAGCUCUGUCUGGUUUAAACUGUAUAUUUAUCAUAUUGCUGGACAAGGACCACCAUCCAUUUUAUUGUCCAAAGGUACAAGACCUUCGAAAACUGCCAGAUAUAUUUCAGAGUUACGAUCGAUUGCUAAUAACAUCUUGGGAUCAUGAUCCUGAAGUAGUUCCUACCUCAAAUGUGCUCAAGAUGUUGAAUGAUGCUUUAACACAUUCUGCAGUUUUAAUUCAGGGACAUGGUCUGCAUGGGAUAGGGGAAACAGUCCAUGUUCCAUUUCCAUUUGAUGAAACAGAACUACAAGGAGAGUUCACUCAGGUCAUUAUGGGUGUACAUAAAGCAUUGCAGAUACUAAGGAACAGAGCAUCUCUAUGGAUAUGUCGCCAUGUUGAAUGCUUCCAGCCAGCUUGCAAAUGGAAAACUCAGUGAUGCUUCUGAUAAGAGAGGAGAACCUGAUUUGGCUUCUGGCUCAGAUGUAAAUGGGAGUACAGAGUCAUUUGAAAUGGUCAUUGAGGAAGCAACUAUAGAUUCAGCAACAAAGCAAACCUCUGGUGCCACAACAGAAGCAGAUUGGGUUCCUCCUAAGCUGUGCUUUGGAAUUCUACUGUUCAGUUCCGAAAUAAACCAGAAAGUUUGUAGGAAAAUUGAUACACAUGGCCUUUGCAGAAAACAGAGCCUUCAAAACCUCUUAGAUUCCAGUAGAAAACUGUCACUGCAGUCCUUAACUUUGUUCACUCUUUCCAGGAAGGUGCUUCAACAUUGGAUAUUCACGCAGAGCCCAGAUUUUCAAGUUUGCUUUCACAGUCAUCAUAUGCUGACAUGGGUGUUCCACUUCCUGCAAAAAACUUCAUAUUUAAAGAUGGUGUCUUAUCAGAAGGGAGUGGACAGUCACCUUCCUCACUUCUUAUUGCUAAUCUCCAUUUGCAAUAAUUUGAUUACACCAUUUGUUGCUCACACUUUCUGCCUUUUUUCUUUCUUAACGUUAGCUUUAUAGUGUCAGCCACUAAAAAGCAUCCUGCUGCUGCAGAACAAUUCUUGCUUAACUAAUAUUAAAAGUUUGGGGAACAUAUUCAUGGUUUCUGAAGUUUUGCUCAUUAUUGCACAUCUUAUUGCAACAAAGUGUCUUUUUAGCAGCCAGCACUGUAUUUUUUACCUUGAGAUGAUCCACAUUUCUUUUAUAAAACUAAGUAUGUACUUUAUAGGCUCUAUGAUGACUGUUAUGUUUAUAAGCAAUCACUAUGAAAAUUCCAAUGAUAAUUUUAUACGUUAGUUCAUCAAACAUAAAUCUUGUUUAAUUUUAUAUUUUGUUACCUAUACUUUGGGGGAUCAAGGGAAGAGAUGGAACUCUUCCUCUAAAAGGGCUUCUUGGUACUUAAACUAGUAAAACUAUAAAACUAUAAACAUCCAGUAUUGAGAGAUGAUAUGAUAGGACAUUAUGAAUUCCUAUGGGUGUCUAAAUUAUCUAUGUCAGUUGGACAU